rnacentral:misc_RNA from 1 species
GUUAUUAUCACCCGAAACACGCUUCAACAUUUCAAAACUUUUACGGCUACCAAGAAAUUCUAUUCGUUUCAAUUCUACACAACCACGCUCACUAGUCUCUUUACUGCAAUAAACUGAUCUUAGUCGGUCAGCAUUCCUUGAAUCUGUGUGAAUCGCUACCUCUACCUCUCUACGGGACAUGUUUUCCUGAUAAAAUGCAUAUAUGUAAUCCAAGACCUGUAAACACGUGAACCCUUUUUCAUUAAAAAAGGUCCUGGAACAUGGACCCAUUUCAGAAAAUCGAUCAACUGGAAACAGUAUGGUAACGAAG